GGCCCAGUAGCGGAUGGUCCGCACUUGCAUCCAAUAGUGGCAGAUCCUCCUGAAGUUUGCAAGAGGUGCUCGUUCGAUUCGAGCCUGGGCCC